AGAGUGCUAGCUCAGUUGGUUAGAGCAUGGUGCUGAUAACGCCAAGGUCACAGGUUCGAUCCCCAUACGGUCCA
rnacentral:tRNA from 1 species